AGAGUUUGAUCCUGGCUCAGGAUGAACGCUAGCGAUAGGCUUAACACAUGCAAGUCGAGGGGCAGCAUGGUCUUAGCUUGCUAAGACUGAUGGAGACCGGCGCACGGGUGCGUAACGCGUAUGCAACUUGCCUCACAGAGGGGGAUAACCCGUCGAAAGACGGACUAAUACCGCGUACACUCUAUGUUGGGCAUCCAAUGUAGAGGAAAUGAACUUCGCUGUGAGAUAGGCAUGCGUCCCAUUAGCUAGUUGGUGAGGUAACGGCUCACCAAGGCGACGAUGGGUAGGGGAACUGAGAGGUUGAACCCCCACACUGGUACUGAGACACGGACCAGACUCCUACGGGAGGCAGCAGUGAGGAAUAUUGGUCAAUGGGCGAGAGCCUGAACCAGCCAAGUCGCGUGAAGGAUGACUGUCUUAUGGAUUGUAAACUUCUUUUAUACGGGAAUAACAAGAGCCACGUGUGGCUCCCUGCAUGUACCGUAUGAAUAAGCAUCGGCUAACUCCGUGCCAGCAGCCGCGGUAAUACGGAGGAUGCGAGCGUUAUCCGGAUUUAUUGGGUUUAAAGGGUGCGUAGGCGGUUUGUUAAGUCAGCGGUGAAAUCUAGAGGCUCAACCUCGAAACUGCCGUUGAAACUGGCGAACUUGAGUGUAGAUGAGGUAGGCGGAAUUCGUGGUGUAGCGGUGAAAUGCAUAGAUAUCACGAGGAACUCCGAUUGCGAAGGCAGCUUACUAAGGUACAACUGACGCUGAAGCACGAAAGCGUGGGUAUCAAACAGGAUUAGAUACCCUGGUAGUCCACGCAGUAAACGAUGAUAACUGGGCGUAUGCGAUAUACAGUAUGCUCCUAAGCGAAAGCGUUAAGUUAUCCACCUGGGGAGUACGCCGGCAACGGUGAAACUCAAAGGAAUUGACGGGGGCCCGCACAAGCGGAGGAACAUGUGGUUUAAUUCGAUGAUACGCGAGGAACCUUACCCGGGCUUAAAUUGCACUCGAAUGAUCCGGAAACGGUUCAGCUAGCAAUAGCGAGUGUGAAGGUGCUGCAUGGUUGUCGUCAGCUCGUGCCGUGAGGUGUCGGCUUAAGUGCCAUAACGAGCGCAACCCUUAUCUUCAGUUACUAACAGGUCAUGCUGAGGACUCUGGAGAGACUGCCGUCGUAAGAUGUGAGGAAGGUGGGGAUGACGUCAAAUCAGCACGGCCCUUACGUCCGGGGCUACACACGUGUUACAAUGGGGGGUACAGAGGGCCGCUACCACGCGAGUGGAUGCCAAUCCCUAAAACCCCUCUCAGUUCGGACUGGAGUCUGCAACCCGACUCCACGAAGCUGGAUUCGCUAGUAAUCGCGCAUCAGCCACGGCGCGGUGAAUACGUUCCCGGGCCUUGUACACACCGCCCGUCAAGCCAUGGGAG
rnacentral:rRNA from 1 species